rnacentral:rRNA from 1 species
UACAGAGACCUCAAGCGUUUAUCCGGAAUCAUUGGGCGUAAAGCGUACCGAUAGGUGGUUUUACAAGUCAGAGGUGAAAUCUCUCAGCUUAACUGGGAGACUGUCUUUUGAAACUGUAAAACUAGAGGGGCAAAGAGGAAGCUGGAACGAACGGUGUAGUAGUGAAAUGCGUUGAUAUCGUUCGGAACACCAAUAGCGUAGGCAGGCUUCUGGGUGCCACCUGACACUGCGUAGGACGGAGAGCGUGGGUG